GAUGAAGAACGCAGCGAAAUGCGAUAAGUAAUGUGAAUUGCAGAAUUCAGUGAAUCAUCGAAUCUUUGAACGCACCUUGCGCUCCUUGGUAUUCCGAGGAGCAUGCCUGUUUGAGUGUCAUGAAAUUCUCAACCCUUCUGGCUUUGCUAGUCAGGCUUGGAUUAUGGGAGCUGCUGGCUUUUGAAGUCGGCUCUUCUAAAAUGUAUUAGCAAGAUCAUUGCUGCUGAUCAUUGGUAUGAUAAUUAUCUAUACCAUUGAGUCGGCUUCCUUCAUUUGGAGGAUUUUGCUUCUAACAGUCUUUCUUCCUAAGACAGUACUUGACAAUUUUGACCUCAAAUCAGGUAGGACUACCCGCUGAACUUAAGCAUAUCAAUAAGCGGAGGA
rnacentral:misc_RNA from 1 species